GAUGGGAUGAGGUUGGAGGUGAGGUUGGAGGAGAGGCUGGGGGUGAGGUUGGAGGUGAGGUUGAGGUGAAGAUGGGAUGAGGCUGGAGGUGAGGCUGGGGGUGAGGUUGGAGGAGAGGCUGGGGGUGAGGUUGGAGGUGAGGUUGGAGGAGAGGCUGGGGGUGAGGCUGGAGGUGAGGCUGGGGUUGAGGCUGGAGGUAAGGUUGGAGGUGAGGUUGGAGGUGAGGCUGGAGGUGAGGCUGGAGGAGAGGUUGGAGGUAAGGUUGGAGGAGAGGAUAGGGGUGAGGCUGGGGGUGAGGUUGGAGGUGAGGCUGGAGCAGAGGCUGGG